GACGGAGGAUGCAAGCGUUAUCCGGAAUGAUUGGGCGUAAAGCGUCUGCAGGUGGCAGUUCAAGUCUGCUGUCAAAGACCGGGGCUUAACUUCGGAAAGGCAGUGGAAACUGAACAGCUAGGGUAUGGUAGGGGCAGAGGGAAUUCCUGGUGUAGCGGUGAAAUGCGUAGAGAUCAGGAAGAACAUCGGUGGCGAAGGCGCUCUGCUGGACCAUAACUGACACUCAGGGACGAAAGCUAGGGGAGCGAAUGGG
rnacentral:rRNA from 1 species